rnacentral:rRNA from 1 species
GAAAAAAGAAAAAAAACGUCCCAAUUUCCCCACACCCACGACCGCGAGCAGAAAUCCCUAACCUGUCCCGACCCAACUCGCCGCCGCCGCCGCCGCCGCCGCCGUCGCCAAGGAACCCUAGCGUGUUGAUGGCAUCGACGGAGGAGCAAGUCUUCCUUGAAUCGAGGAACCUGUCAUAUGAUGGCGCCCACCACCCCGACGCCUGCACCGACUGGGAUUACCCGGAAGACCCAGGCGACCGGCGGAACGGGGUGGAGGUUGCCGAGCUCCAUGACCAGCCGGCGCGCAUGAGCACCUCAGAUUCAGAUCCAUGUGAAGUCGCCAGGCGUGCCUUGGACCUCAUGUUCCCGCGGGAGGAGGACAGCGAUGACUGCUGGAGCACCUGGAGCGCACGGGAGAAGGGCAGUGAUGACGACGAUGAACAAGGAGGGGAAGAAGGCGAUGGUAGCACACAGGAGAGCAGCGAUUAUGAAGACGACGGCCGCAAUUGCCAAGUGAUACUAGCCGAGACAAACUGUCCAGGUAGCUGCUGAUUCUCUCAACAGAUGAAACAAAAAUACUCCUAUAUAUUUAUCUGCUGAGCUGUUCUACAUCAAUUCUUCAGGAAAGCUCUACCCCGAGAGCCAAGCAGAGGCCAUAGAACUCAGAUGGGCAGACUGGUUCUUCCAGCGGAUUGUAGAACACUCAAAGCUGUGCAAGGAGAUUAUGGCCCUGGGAGAUGAUGAUGAGACUCCUUUCCCCCCAUCUCCCAUGAAAGUGUUCCCUGAGGCAACAGCUUUAUGCAUCCUUGGGGCCAAAUCCUGCCACCACCGUGUUUACAGGACCCAUGACACUUCUACCACCCCAUCAACUCUUGGAUAUCGUGAACCAAGUCAUAUGCUACAAUUUUUCUCCAUGCGUCUAUCAAGCUUUGAAGCCUCGUAUUCCAUUAGUGUGUACGGAAUAUUCGCCAUUCGGGAUUACUUGGACCGGCGACGGAACUAUGUCUUUAACCGUCCCAGGGAUGAUGCUGUAACAAUUGAGAAGCAGGAUUCUUUUGUCGUACCACUUUGUAGCCCUUGUCGAGGAAUGUAUGUAUCGGAUAAGGCUUUAGUAGAAGUUGAUCUUUGGGUAAAGAAGGAAGGGGAUGAAUCAGAUGACAAGCAACUACUUUCUGCCUACGCUGAGAUUGAUGUCCAUGCUGAAGCUAAUGUCAUGUUUUAUUCACGAAUUUCUGGUGAUAAUUGCAAUUUGGACUUAAAAUACAAAGUCCUUUCAGAAAGUGUCGAGGCUGUAAUACAAGUAUAUGCAAAGGUGGACCAUCCUCACCAUGUGAGGUUCACUGCUUUUAGCACCGGAUAUGAUGACUAUCCUCAUCGUGGAGUUGUGCUGUUUGAUGACAAAUUAUUUGGUCACGAAAAAAUAUUCCAGCAUAUUGUUGCAGUGAAAGCAAAUGAAGAACUUCAUGUUUUUUUAGAAGUGAACGGUUCAGUGUUCCAGUGGACUUUUCAAGACGAACAUGUCGGAGCUGUUAUUUCUCCUGAUGACUCAGUCUUUGAGUAUGGCCAGUUCUUCGUGAGGGUGAUAUUUGCUCCAAAGGAUUGUCAGUGAAGCUCAGCUCCAGCAUUCUCACAGUGUAGCCAUUGGCUGAAAGCCUGAAGCUCAUGGAAAAGUGUUGUUGCUUUUCUUGGUAUUGUAUAUAAGUAGCAGCUGAAUUUGUCUUCUUAAGCCCUCUUAGGCAGACAUCAGAAGUACUAAUUUUUAUAGCCUGAAGCUCAUGAAAACUAGAGAAAAUUUCUUGACUUUUAUGUGGCCUAUCCUUGUAAUAUGACUGGUGGAAACCCAAACGUGUUCCAAG